GUAGGAGGUGUAUGUGUUUGUCCUGCAUAAACUUUAGUCGUUUGAGGUGGUCAAGAUGUUUCCACAAUAGGAGAACUACUGUUAGAACCUAGCGCUAUCACAUAAUCCACCACCUAUUUUUUAACAAUUUAUAACAAUUUGUUCUCAUUUUUUCAUAGAAAACCAGCCGACGGAAUUGUUUUAGUGGAAAUUUUUUUUGGUAUAACUUGAGAAAUCCUAGCUUAGUCAAGAUUUGGUGUAAAACCAAGUCAAUGAGGUCUAGGAAAAUCUUUUAAUAAAUGAGAGAUAUAAUUAUAAAUCUGAUCUCAUGAAUAGAUACCUAAGACGUUAAGUGUCAACAGGCAGUUUUUGUGUGUCAUAGGUUCAAGGCGAGUUUUGAAAUAGGAUUUCAAACUUAAAAUUUGACUCUUUGUUUCCGUGAAAACCUCUAGGUGGGAUUAUUCCUACCAUGGUUUGGGAAUUCAGGCGGUUUGGGGGUCGCCAUAGCGGUCCAGGCGUGACAUAAGCCAGAAAUAAACAAAAAAAAAACUAAUUAUUCUGCAAUUUUUAUUGAUAGCUAGGAGAGGAGACUAAGCAAUUUCUUGAUAGCUUUCCACUACUGUUGUUGGAAAAGUUAAGGAUUUUACUCCCCUAAUCUGUUUUUUGAUUCGUAGAACUUAUAAUAUUGAUCAUAUAUUCUAGGGGUAGGGUUCUGAACUUAAUAGGAUGGAAGAAAAAAGACCUAGUUGGAGGCUUGGAUCAUGAGUUGGGUUUUCGGUUAUUUGGUUUGUUAUAAUUUGGGUAAAAUUAGACCUUAACUGUUGAUCCUUACGUUGUAUUGAAUUUUUUUUAGACCUAGAACAAGCAUGAAGAAUAUGCAAAGGGAAGAUUCCAGUGUCUUCGGAGGAUUCAAGUUUUGCUUCGAGGAAUAGCCUGGUACACCAUCUAUACAUUGUGGUUGUGUACUAACACUUCACUUGCUCUUUCUUUGUUGAGUACAAGGCAUCUUCAGGGGACUAUUGAUAGACAUCAUCUAGGAGAUAAGUGGUCAAAUAGGAUACAUGGGUCCUGGAGGGUGUUAAAGAUAUUCAUUGCAGCUGUUCGGACAUUUGGACCGGGUAGGUCCACAUGCAUUCGAGGAUGCCUUCCGUUUUGUUUCUAGUUUAGUAAUAGGUUUAGGCUAGUGCAACAUUUUCCACUAGUAUUUCUUUCCUGUUUUGAUCAGACUGAAGUAAAUGUUCCACUAUGGCAAUUGUUACUUAUUCUAUAGGGCUAUUUAUUUCAA